UUGAAGAGUUUGAUCAUGGCUCAGAUUGAACGCUGGCGGCAGGCCUAACACAUGCAAGUCGAACGGUAACAGGAAGAAGCUUGCUUCUUUGCUGACGAGUGGCGGACGGGUGAGUAAUGUCUGGGAAACUGCCUGAUGGAGGGGGAUAACUACUGGAAACGGUAGCUAAUACCGCAUAACGUCGCAAGACCAAAGAGGGGGACCUUCGGGCCUCUUGCCAUCGGAUGUGCCCAGAUGGGAUUAGCUUGUUGGUGGGGUAACGGCUCACCAAGGCGACGAUCCCUAGCUGGUCUGAGAGGAUGACCAGCCACACUGGAACUGAGACACGGUCCAGACUCCUACGGGAGGCAGCAGUGGGGAAUAUUGCACAAUGGGCGCAAGCCUGAUGCAGCCAUGCCGCGUGUAUGAAGAAGGCCUUCGGGUUGUAAAGUACUUUCAGCGGGGAGGAAGGGAGUAAAGUUAAUACCUUUGCUCAUUGACGUUACCCGCAGAAGAAGCACCGGCUAACUCCGUGCCAGCAGCCGCGGUAAUACGGAGGGUGCAAGCGUUAAUCGGAAUUACUGGGCGUAAAGCGCACGCAGGCGGUUUGUUAAGUCAGAUGUGAAAUCCCCGGGCUCAACCUGGGAACUGCAUCUGAUACUGGCAAGCUUGAGUCUCGUAGAGGGGGGUAGAAUUCCAGGUGUAGCGGUGAAAUGCGUAGAGAUCUGGAGGAAUACCGGUGGCGAAGGCGGCCCCCUGGACGAAGACUGACGCUCAGGUGCGAAAGCGUGGGGAGCAAACAGGAUUAGAUACCCUGGUAGUCCACGCCGUAAACGAUGUCGACUUGGAGGUUGUGCCCUUGAGGCGUGGCUUCCGGAGCUAACGCGUUAAGUCGACCGCCUGGGGAGUACGGCCGCAAGGUUAAAACUCAAAUGAAUUGACGGGGGCCCGCACAAGCGGUGGAGCAUGUGGUUUAAUUCGAUGCAACGCGAAGAACCUUACCUGGUCUUGACAUCCACAGAACUUUCCAGAGAUGGAUUGGUGCCUUCGGGAACUGUGAGACAGGUGCUGCAUGGCUGUCGUCAGCUCGUGUUGUGAAAUGUUGGGUUAAGUCCCGCAACGAGCGCAACCCUUAUCCUUUGUUGCCAGCGGUCCGGCCGGGAACUCAAAGGAGACUGCCAGUGAUAAACUGGAGGAAGGUGGGGAUGACGUCAAGUCAUCAUGGCCCUUACGACCAGGGCUACACACGUGCUACAAUGGCGCAUACAAAGAGAAGCGACCUCGCGAGAGCAAGCGGACCUCAUAAAGUGCGUCGUAGUCCGGAUUGGAGUCUGCAACUCGACUCCAUGAAGUCGGAAUCGCUAGUAAUCGUGGAUCAGAAUGCCACGGUGAAUACGUUCCCGGGCCUUGUACACACCGCCCGUCACACCAUGGGAGUGGGUUGCAAAAGAAGUAGGUAGCUUAACCUUCGGGAGGGCGCUUACCACUUUGUGAUUCAUGACUGGGGUGAAGUCGUAACAAGGUAACCGUAGGGGAACCUGCGGUUGGAUCACCUCCUU
rnacentral:rRNA from 2 species